GUACACGGUGGAUGCCCUGGCAGUCAGAGGCGAUGAAGGACGUGCUAAUCUGCGAUAAGCGUCGGUAAGGUGAUAUGAACCGUUGUAACCGGCGAUUUCCGAAUGGGGAAACCCAGUGUGAUUCGUCACACUAUCCUUCACUGGAACCCUAGGCUAAUGAGGCGACUCGGUAGAACUGAAACAUAUAAGUGCCCCGAGGAAAAGAAAUUAACCGAGAUUCCCCCUGUAGCAGCAAGUGAACGGGGAGCAGACCAGAGCCUGAAUCAGUAUGCGUGUAAGCGGAAGCGUCUUGAAAGGCGCGCGAUACAGGG
rnacentral:rRNA from 1 species